rnacentral:snoRNA from 1 species
CAUAAGGAAUCAAAAAGCUGGGUAGUGUAUGCAGCCUGUUGCUUGUACAGGCUGCCCUAAGGGACCCUGGAGACAGCC